UAGAGGCUCUCAAGAGCCUGUGUCGCUCACCUGUAUUUACUGAUGCUUUGAAAUCAUGUAAAAUAAGGUUAAAAUCAUAAUUAAUAGUAUUAGAUAUUAGAUAUUAUAAUGAUAUCUAAGAUAAUAACAAAUAAAAUGCUCCGCAGGGCACAGCUUGAUACGACUGCAGAGGUCGAACCCUGAACAGUUGGGGCAAGUAUGGACACAACAUUCAAGCUUGAUACAGCUCUGAAUUUGGAUUGUGAUUAAAUAUUUGACACAGCAUAGGUUUCUGACACAGAAAGAAUGUGGUCUAAGAACUUGAAUUUUUUUAAUUUACCUAUUAUGGUCCAAUGUCCAAAAUCAAAAUACAUGGUUAGAUUCAGCAUAUCAAAGAACCCUGAUAUAUUCAAUUUUUGUUGAAAUCAAACAAAAGUUUAAUUUUGGACCCCAACUUGGACCAACUUGAAAACUGGGCCCAUAAUAAAAAAUCUAAACACAUGUUUAGAUUCAGCAUAUCAAAGUACCCCAAGAAUUCAAUUUUUGUUAAAAUCAAACUAAGUUUAAUUUUGGACCCUUUGGACCUUAAUGUAGACCAGUUUAAAAAACGGGACCCAAAAUUAAAAAUCUAAAUACACGGUUAGAUUUGGAAUGUCAAAGAACCCCAAUAAUUCAAUUUUUGAUGAAAUCAAACAAAGUUUAAUUUUGGACCCUUUUGACCUCAAUAUGAACCAAUUUGAUAGCGGGCCCCCAAAUAAAAAAUCUAAAUACAUGGUUAGAUUCAGCAUAUCAAAGAACCCCAUAUAUUCAAUUUUUGUUAAAAUCAAACAAAGUUUAAUUUUGGACCCUUUGGACCUUAAUGUAAACCAAUUUGAAAACUGGACCCAAAAUUAAAAAUCUAAAUACAUGGUUAGAUUCGGCAUAACAAAUAAAUAAAUGUGGUCAAAGAUUUUACAAAUCUAAUGCGCCAUACUGUGCAAUUAAAGAUUACUUCUUGAAAUUUUUCAAUAUUUUAAAUUUGAAAAAAAAAUAA